GACGGCUCAGUACACGUGGCCAAGCUACCCUGUGGACGGGAAUACUCUCGGGAAACUGAGACUAAUCCCCGAUAACGCUUUGCUCCUGGAAGGGGCAAAGCCGGAAACGCUCCGGCGCCACAGGAUGCGGCUGCGGUCGAUUAGGUAGACGGUGGGGUAACGGCCCACCGUGCCCAUAAUCGGUACGGGUUGUGAGAGCAAGAGCCCGGAGACGGAAUCUGAGACAAGAUUCCGGGCCCUACGGGGCGCAGCAGGCGCGAAACCUUUACACUGUACGAAAGUGCGAUAAGGGGACUCCGAGUGUGAAGGCAUAGAGCCUUCACUUUUGUACACCGUAAGGCGGUGCACGAAUAAGGACUGGGCAAGACCGGUGCCAGCCGCCGCGGUAAUACCGGCAGUCCGAGUGAUGGCCGAUCUUAUUGGGCCUAAAGCGUCCGUAGCUGGCUGAACAAGUCCGUUGGGAAAUCUGUCCGCUUAACGGGCAGGCGUCCAGCGGAAACUGUUCAGCUUGGGACCGGAAGACCUGAGGGGUACGUCUGGGGUAGGAGUGAAAUCCUGUAAUCCUGGACGGACCGCCGGUGGCGAAAGCGCCUCAGGAGAACGGAUCCGACAGUGAGGGACGAAAACUAGGGUCUCGAACCGGAUUAGAUACCCGGGUAGUCCUA
rnacentral:rRNA from 1 species